GAUGAACGCUGGCGGCGUGCCUAAUACAUGCAAGUCGAGCGAACGGACGAGAAGCUUGCUUCUCUGAUGUUAGCGGCGGACGGGUGAGUAACACGUGGAUAACCUACCUAUAAGGCUGGGAUAACUUCGGGAAACCGGAGCUAAUACCGGAUAAUAUUUUGAACCGCAUGGUUCAAAAGUGAAAGACGGUCUUGCUGUCACUUAUAGAUGGAUCCGCGCUGCAUUAGCUAGUUGGUAAGGUAACGGCUUACCAAGGCAACGAUGCAUAGCCGACCUGAGAGGGUGAUCGGCCACACUGGAACUGAGGCACGGUCCAGACUCCUAAGGGAAGCAGCAGGAGGGAAUCUUCCGGAAUGGGCGAAAGCCUGACGGAGCAACGCCGCGUGAGUGAUGAAGGUCUUCGGAUCGUAAAACUCUGUUAUUAGGGAAGAACAUAUGUGUAAGUAACUGUGCACAGCUUGACGGUACCUAAUCAGAAAGCCACGGCUAACUACGUG
rnacentral:rRNA from 1 species